rnacentral:rRNA from 1 species
CCUACGCGUGGCUGCAGUGGGGGAUAUUGCACAAUGUGGGGAACCCUGAUGCAGCGACGCCGCGUGGGUGAAGGAGUAUUUCGGUAUGUAAAGCCCUAUCGGCAGGGAAGAAUUUAGACGGUACCUGACUAAGACGCCCCGGCUAACUACGGGCCAGCAGCCGCGGUACUACGUAGGGGGCAAGCAUUAUCCGGAUGCACUGGGUGUAAAGGGCGCGUAGACGGCCAGGCAAGCCUGGAGGGAAAGCCCGGGGCCCAACCCCGGGACUGCUCUGGGAACUGUCCGGCUGGAGUGCGGGAGGGGCAGGCGGAAUUCCUGGUGUAGCGGUGAAAUGCGGAGAGAUCAGGAGGAAGACCGGCGGCGAAGGCGGCCUGCUGGACCGCGACUGACGUUGAGGCUCGAAAGCGUGGGGAGCGAACAGGAUUAGAUACCCCAGGAGUC